rnacentral:rRNA from 1 species
UACGGAGGGUGCGAGCGUUAAUCGGAAUUACUGGGCGUAAAGGGCGCGUAGGCGGCCUAUCAAGUCAGAUGUGAAAGUCCAGGGCUUAACCGUGGAAGUGCAUUUGAAACUGUCAUGCUUGAGUACCAGAGGGGAAGGUGGAAUUCCCGGUGUAGAGGUGAAAUUCGUAGAUAUCGGGAGGAAUACCGGUGGCGAAGGCGACUUUCUGGCUGGAUACUGACGCUGAGGCGCGAAAGCGUGGGGAGCAAACAGGAUUAGAUACCCCUGUAGUC